ACCAGGCACGGUGCUGUGUGCCUGUAGUCCCAGCUACUUGGGAGGCUGAGGUGGGAGGAUCACUUGAGCCCAGGAGUUCUGGGUUAUGAUGAGCUAUGCCGAUCGGGUGUCCCCACUAAGUUCAGCAUAAACAUGGUGACCUCCCGGGAGCAGGGGACCAUCCGGUUGCCUAAGGAGGNNNNNNNNNNUCAGAAAUUGGAGCAGGUCAAAACUCCCGUGCUGAUCAGCAGUGGGACGCACCUGUGAAUAGCCACUGCACUCCCAGCCUGGGCAACAUAGCGAGAUCCUGUCUCUA
rnacentral:SRP_RNA from 1 species